CCUACGGGCGGCAGCAGUGAGGAAUAUUGGUCAAUGGGCGGGAGCCUGAACCAGCCAAGUCGCGUGAGGGACGACGGUCCUAUGGAGUGUAAACCGCUUUUGUCGGGGAACAAAGGCGGCCACGGGUGGGCGGAUGAGUGUACCCGAAGAAAAAGCAUCGGCUAACUCCGUGCCAGCAGCCGCGGUAAUACGGAGGAUGCGAGCGUUAUCCGGAUUUAUUGGGUUAAAAGGGUGCGGAGGCGGACAAUCAAGUAAGCGGCAAAAAUGCGGUGCUCACCGCCGUACCGCCGUUGAAACUGGCAGUCUGGAGUGGGCGAGAGGUAUGCGGAAUGCGUGGUGUAGCGGUGAAAUGCAUAGAUAUCACGCAGAACUCCGAUUGCGAAGGCAGCAUACCGGCGCCCGACUGACGCUGAGGCACGAAAGCGUGGGUAUCGAACAGGAUUAGAUACCCGGGUAGUC
rnacentral:rRNA from 1 species